GAGUUGCAUGUGAAUCGGAUCCAUAUCGCCCACCAUGUUGAUUCUAUAUUCAGCAUUAAGAUGACCCAUCGUGCUGGUUGCCUGGGAAUCCAGUUAGCCUCUGCAUUGUUCUUGGUGAAUUCUGCGCCAAAUAUUUGCCCAAGGAUCAUCUCCUGGCAGUACUGCCCGUCUUGUCCAUGUGCCAGCUAUCUUUAUGCACUGUGAGAAAGAAAGAAUUUGGAGCGUGCAACACCUACAGCGGUGGAAAAUACCCUCGAGAAUCGCCUGCCAUCAAUCAAAAGGACACCUUCCAGCUCUGCACCAGAGCAGCUGCGUUUCGAGGAGAUGUGAUACCUCUAUAAUUUGUCGCUUAUCUUGCGCCCACACAUUAUUUUUUAAACCAGUACAAAUAAUGCGCACAGGGAAGGACACAAAAAAAA